UGGAGUACUUACUUCCUCUUCCUCUUCCGAGAAAAGUCUAGAACAGAGUCCUUGGUAAUGGCGACAGUGGGUCUGGAGGAGGGAGUUCAAGGUCUGGAGCUAGGAAACUUCAAACUGCUGGCCAGCUGAGUCAGAUGCAAUGGCCCAGGACGGUUACCAGGACAUUCAGCCUGUCAGCUGCCCAGGCCUCACAACUAUCCAUGGACCUCCUCAUCUCUCAGGGAGACCCUGAGGCUCAGGGAAACUUGGAGGCUCAUCCCAGAUCCUAAACCAAAUAUAUCCUCUACCAAUCUGGAUGACAGCCUUGCUUUCUGGCUCCUCAGACCAGGGAUGGCUUUCUCGUCCUUAAAACAAUAUUUAGUGUCUUUUAAAAACAUGGCAUUUGAAGCAUGUGAAGCCACCUGUUGGGCAAAUAGCUCCAAAGCAAAGAGCAAAAGUUGAAAGUCUCACUUUCUCCCUUUCAACUUCCACCCCAGCAGAGCCCUUGCAGAUCCAUCUCCCCUGGGGAAGCAGCACCCUGGAAACUGUGGAUACUGGAUUUUCUUCCCAGCCUCCCAAGAGCUCAUUCCACGGGCUGCUUAACCUGCAGUCCGUAGCCUGGAGUCCUUCACCAGGUGGCCAGAGACAGACAGUGGCCUUGCCAAGGCAGGCAGCAUUUUCCCCUGGAGCACUAACAGGAUUUUAGAGUGGGACCUGACUCAAUAAAUAUUUGUGGAAUGAG